rnacentral:lncRNA from 1 species
AUUCAUCCCUGGUAGCGGUUCCAGGAAAGCGGUUCCACGAGAAAAAGGAACCCCUUUCUAAUAGAGCCAGCUGACCAAGGCAUUAGGAGGGCAAGGACUUUGGACGCCUCUCUCCAGCAAGCUGGAGCCAGAGCCAGAGUUAACUGGCCCCCUGAGCCCCCUGUAAGGGGCAGUGGCCAGGCUUGGAGUUGGCGAGGGUGCCCUGGCUAGAAAAUGGAGAUGUAAAGUGUGCCCUUUUCCUGUGGCUCUGAAAGAGGGACCAGAAUCAAGGGGCUCUGGGGCCGUCCAAGAGCAAAGAUGGUCCCACACUGGAUUAGAGAAUUCCCAGAGCAAUCCUACCCUCUUCCCCGCCCCCACUGCUCUUGUCCCGCAGCAGAGGACCCUGCCAAGGUGAUGAGAACCUCCUUGUUAGAGGUCUUGGGAUAUGAACACCCUCCUCUCACCAGCAUGCUGGAAAGGAGACUCACAGGUUCUGAGCACUGUGUGUCAGGCCCUUCGCAUGUGUGACUACUUCAUCUGUCAUCCUGUGAGACUCAAGUCACUCCAGAAAACUAUGCUAAGAGCUAUUGAUCGUGUUUUCCUACUGCGAUUAUACCAACAUCCUGACGUGAACUACAGCUGAGGUCUUAGGCUGUUAUGCUCCCAUCCAUGAAAUGAUCUCCUGGGAUUCUUUACUCUGCUUUCACUAGCAGUCUGCACAUGAAUUUAAUUAUCUCAGCACUCUCCUGACUACCUUUGGAGCAUCUUCUGUAUUUGGGGGUUAUAUUUUGCUAUAUGGCAAGCUUUGCUGUCAGCAAAAUGAUGGUUAAGGAUGUAAAAGCCCACUAAAUGCUGUUAUAAAAUGAUUAUUUGUGCUAUAUCAAAAACAAACAAACAAAAACACCGGAAGCUUAAAACAAUAGUCAUGUAUUAUCAUACUCAUGGGUCUGCGGGUUAGCUGUGGCUUGACUGAUUUAGCUUCAGGUUCAAGCUACAGGUUGAGUUCAGGUGUGCUCUACAUGUCUCUCAUUCUCCUUGGACCAGUGGCUGUUCCCAUAUGGUCUGUUCCCAGAGACUCGUUCCAGAACCCAGACUGAAGGAGCAGCAGCUACUGGGGCAUGUUCUUAUCAUGGCAGAUAACUGCAGCACAAGAGAGCAAGUCCUACUGAGCAAGCACAUUUCAAGGUUCCUCUCGUCUGAUUCACAGAGUUCCUAUUGGCUAAAGCAAGUCACAUGGCCAAAUGCAAAGUCAAAGGUGGCAAAGUAUUCUCUGUCCACUAUGACAAGGGUGUGGAUAGAGAAUU